rnacentral:rRNA from 1 species
UACGUAGGUGGCAAGCGUUGUCCGGAUUUACUGGGCGUAAAGAGCGCGCAGGCGGUCGUUCAAGUCGCGUGUUAAAGCCCCCGGCUCAACUGGGGAGGGUCACGCGAUACUGAUCGACUCGAAGGCAGGAGAGGGUAGUGGAAUUCCCGGUGUAGUGGUGAAAUGCGUAGAUAUCGGGAGGAACACCAGUGGCGAAGGCGACUACCUGGCCUGUUCUUGACGCUGAGGCGCGAAAGCUAGGGGAGCAAACGGG